rnacentral:rRNA from 1 species
UUGGAGGGCAAGUCUGGUGCCAGCAGCCGCGGUAAUUCCAGCUCUAAUAGCGUAUAUUAAAGUUGUUGCAGUUAAAAAGCUCGUAGUUGAAUUUCGGGGUCAGUAGGUCGGUCGUGCCACUGGUAUGAACUGGUUUUACUGAUUCCUCCCUCUUGAAGAACUGUAAUGCCAUUAAUUUGGUGUUGCAGGGAAUCAGGACUGUUACUUUGAAAAAAUUAGAGUGUUUAAAGCAGGCUUUAGCUUGAAUACAUUAGCAUGGAAUAAUGAAAUAGGACGUUUGAUCCUAUUUUGUUGGUUUCUAGGAUUGACGUAAUGAUUAAUAGGGAUAGUUGGGGGCAUUAGUAUUCAAUUGUCAGAGGUGAAAUUCUUGGAUUUAUUGAAGACUAACUACUGCGAAAGCAUUUGCCAAGGAUGUUUUCAUUAAUCAAGAACGAAAGUUAGGGGAUCGAAGACGAUCAGAUACCGUCGUAGUCUUAACCAUAAACUAUGCCGACUAGGGAUCGGAUGAUGUUAAUUUUUUAAUGACUCAUUCGGCGCCUUACGGGAAAC